GAGUGUGCGUUGUGUGGAAAAAGUAGUUUUGUUUGUGUUAAACUGGCUGCCUGUUAAUUUCAUAGGAUGACCCCUAGUUCUUGUUUUGAGAGAGAGAGAG